GAUUCUGUAAUUCAGUUGGUAGAAUGGUUGACUGUUAAUCAACGUGUCGCAGGUUCGAGUCCUGCCAGAAUCG
rnacentral:tRNA from 1 species